AUUGAACGCUGGCGGCAGGCCUAACACAUGCAAGUCGAACGGAGUGGCGGACGGGUGAGUAAUGCCUAGGAAUCUGCCUGGUAGUGGGGGAUAACUUCCGGAAACGGGCGCUAAUACCGCAUCCUAUCAGAUGAGCCUAGGUCGGAUUGGCUAGUUGGUGGGGUAAAGGCCUACCAAGGCGACGAUCCGUAACUGGUCUGAGAGGAUGAUAAGUAAAACUGGAACUGAGAAACGGUCCAGACUCCUACGGGAGGCAGCAGGGGGGAAUAUUGGCAAAUGGGCGAAAGCCUGAUCCAGCCAUGCCGCGUGUGUGAAGAAGGUCUGCGGAUUGGAAAGAACUUUAAGUUGGGAGGCGUUACCAAAAGAAUAAGAACCGGCUAACUUCGUGCCAGCCGCCGCGGUAAUU
rnacentral:rRNA from 1 species